rnacentral:rRNA from 1 species
AGUUACGGCGGUCAUGGCGAGAGGGAAACACCCGGUCCCAUCCCGAACCCGGAAGUUAAGCCUUUCAGCGCCGAUGGUACUGCAACCGAGAGGUUGUGGGAGAGUAGGACGCCGCCGGACAA